rnacentral:tRNA from 1 species
GCCACCCUAGCUCAGUCGGUAGAGCAGCUGAUUCGUAAUCAGCAGGUCGAGGGUUCAAUCCCCCCGGGUGGCU